GACAGAGGGUGCAAACGUUGUUCGGAAUUACUGGGCGUAAAGCGAGUGUAGGCGGUCUGUUAAGUCGGGUGUGAAAGCCCUGGGCUCAACCCAGGAAGUGCACUCGAAACUGGCGGGCUAGAGUAUCGGAGAGGUUGGUGGAAUUCUCGGUGUAGAGGUGAAAUUCGUAGAUAUCGAGAGGAACACCGGUGGCGAAGGCGGCCAACUGGACGAAUACUGACGCUGAGACUCGAAAGCGUGGGGAGCAAACAGG
rnacentral:rRNA from 1 species